rnacentral:rRNA from 1 species
UUUUUUUCUCUACCUAGUAUUGAAAGUGGUCUUAUUUUAGUAUAUGAGAAAACUGAUGCUCUUAAUUAUGUACGUAGAUGUUACAAUAGAAAUGGUAUUAUCUUUGUAUUCACUCCUGAGCUUCCUAGGCUCCUAGCUAUUGGUUCUUUGCAGCCAUAAUAGAGAUGGUAUUAUCAUUGCUUUAUUUAUAAUUAUUAUCAUUGUAUUAAUUUUGUUUUCAUUGGGUAUAAUAGUGAUGGAUUCUAGGAGAAAUAAAAUUAUUAAGGUUAUCUCGCAAGAACAAGAAGAAGAUGAUGAACUAUUUUUCCUUUUGGUUCCCGCUUUAUAUGCUUCCCUUUAUGAGGAAAAGCAUCCAGUUCACACAUCAUCUUUAUCCGGGGC